rnacentral:rRNA from 1 species
AGAUUGAACGCUGGCGGCAUGCCUUACACAUGCAAGUCGAACGCGAAAGGGGGGCAACCCCCGAGUAGAGUGGCGAACGGGUGAGUAAUACAUCGGAACGUAUCCAGUAGCGGGGGAUAACCUCUCGAAAGAGAGGCUAAUACCGCAUACGACCUACGGGUGAAAGAGGGGGAUCGCAAGACCUCUCACUAUUGGAGCGGCCGAUGUCGGAUUAGCUAGUUGGCGGGGUAACGCCCACCAAGGCUACGAUCCGUAGCUGGUCUGAGAGGACGACCAGCCACACUGGAACUGAGACACGGUCCAGACUCCUACGGGAGGCAGCAGUGGGGAAUUUGGACAAUGGGCGCAAGCCUGAUCCAGCCAUGCCGCGUGAGUGAAGAAGGCCUUGGGUUGUAAGCUCUUCGGCUGGACGAAAGGUCCGUGUUAACACCACGAUCCAUGACGGUACCAGCAGAAGAAGCACCGGCUAACGUACGUGCCAGACACGCCGACGGUAACUCGUAGAGG